AUGGAACCGCCGUUUGAGUGGUCUCCCCAGUUUAUUCUGCUUCUCCUAGCAGUUACAACCUACGGAUUUCCACUCGAGGAGAAAUUCGAUGGGCUCUUCCGUGCAGAGCCACCACACUGUUCCAAGACACCAAUUGUCCGUGCUCAAACAUCUCAAAAUGCGAUGUCAUCAAUUGCAAGAGGAAUGCAAAUGCAAUUCUCAAUUGGUUUGCACACUGCAGUCUGCUUCAGAUUAUAUGAAGACACUCAACUCGCAUCCCAAGAGAUCAAUGAUGAUGAAAAUGCUGGAAAUCAGACAUCACUUCUUCAUACUAUUCGAUUGGAAAAGCUUGAACAUCACCAUCCGAUAACUCAGCGGUACACUUUUGGAAUCCCUGAAGUUCAUGCCAGUUGUAUCUGUGAGUGUGAUGCCACAUCUUCAACAUGUACCGCAGAAUCUCAUCAGUUUACCGCUUGUCCAGAGUCUGAUAAGUCUGAUGAAACAUCUUCAUGCUACCGCACGUUCUUCCCAAAUCAGACACCAAUCGGGUGCAGUGAAGACGACAUCCCCAAGCUUUGCUGUGACGUUCGAUUCAAGCCAUAUAAAAAUAUGACAUUCCUCGCAGUCAAACUAGAACAACCUACAACGUAUGCAACAUUUGUCUACGCAGCUUAUGAUUUUAUGGUGGAACACAGGAUAGGCAUCUCGACCAAAAACGUCGAAUUUCAUUGGCUGUAACUGCCGGAGGACGAGCAUCUCAUCAACUGGAGACAGGAAUGUAUUUCUCAAGAACAAGUAAUGGAGGAGAAACAGAAGAACUGAGAAUGCAACCAUUGAAUGAGAUUACAGACAAUAACUUUGACCGUCUUGGAUGGUACAGAAUGGACGAUUCUGGUCAUUUUCAUGUGAAUAAUGGAGUUGUGAAAAUGGAUGAUAUUCACAAGGCUAAAGUGAAAAAUUGCAAAGAGCAAACUUAUAAAUCAAUUCUCUCUGCAAAUCAUUAUAUGCCAGGACAUUUCAAUUUGACUCGUCCACUUGAAGUUAUCAAACCGUGGAUUCAAUCUGCUCGAAUUUUUGAUAGUUCUCUCAGACAAGCUGUUGUAACACAUGCCGAAGGAACUAAUCUUCAAAUUUCAAUUCACUUGGAUGACGAGGUGGAAAGUCAAAACCUUGUCUUCUUCCAUAAUGCAUCAAGAAUUCGUGACUUCAGUGGAUCCAUCAUCGUUGAUUCAAAAUCAAAUCGAUUGUUCAACUUGACAGUAUAUGAGGCUUCUGGAAAAAUUGAUGGAUCAGUGAAGAUGUCAACUGGAUUUGGAUCUGAUACAAUUCACACAUUCACUGCUUAUGUUAGUGAUCUUCAUGCUUCAAACCGUUCUAUGAUUAUUCCACUGCCAGCCAUCGUUGGACAAGGAGCCAGAGCAAUCUGUCUCCGAGCAGAUUCAAUGGCUGAUAUUGACAAAAUUUGUCAUGUCAUUGAGUAUUUCGAGAGCCCUUUGGAAAUCGAUCUUGUUGAGGGAAAAUGGCACGAAAUGAUUGGAACCUGCCCAACUUGUAAUCAAAUCAAUUUCAAUGGAAUGAUGAAAUUUCUGAAUCCAGCUCAUUGGAUCAAAGGAAUCAGUUCGAUUGGUGACGGCGUUAUGAUUGCUACGGAUAUUGUUGUGUAUCUCGGAGUUUUGUGUAUUCUGUAUCUUCUUAUUACGAAGAUUAUUGUUCCGUUGGUUCGUUGCUGGGUAUGCCCCAUGUCGAUUUUCUGCAAUGGGUCCUCUUCGUCGUCCAAAAACAAAAAUGAUAAGAGAAGGAAGGAGAGAGAGGAGAGGCGCAGAAAGGACAAAUUUGUCUCAGAAUCCGAAGAUGGUGCAAGAAGUAGUUCCGAGCCCCACGACACUUUGGCGAGAUACCAUGGAAAUCACUCGGAGCGGCACUAUAGCAGUAGCCAGUACAUUUGA
rnacentral:misc_RNA from 1 species